GGGUCAGUAGGUUGGUCGUGCCACCGGUACGUACUGGUCUCACUGAUUCCUCCUUCCUGAAGAACCGUAAUGCCAUUAAUUUGGUGUUGCGGGGAAACAGGACUGUUACUUUGAAAAGUUAGAGUGUUUAAAGCAAGCUAACGCUUGAAUACAUUAGCAUGGAAUAAUGAAAUAGGACGAUCGAUCCUAUUUUGUUGGUUUCUAGGAUUGACGUA
rnacentral:rRNA from 1 species